rnacentral:lncRNA from 1 species
CUAAGUGCAAUUGUUCAGUGGAGGAAUGCAUAUAAUUGGAACUUUCAAGAUGAGUGGUCAUGCAGUUGACUUUCUAAGAGAGCUGUGAGGAAAAGCAAGGGUCAUGUCUGAAGAUUAGAAGGGGGCAUCCUUUUCUGUGUCAUCACAUUAUUAAAAUUUUUAUUUUUACUAGUACAUGUCUGCAGCACUUAAUGAUUACAUUCUUCAUGCAGAGUUGGUUCAUGUAGACAGCACAUCAUAAUUCUUUUUUCCUCACCUUCUCUCCCUCCCUCCUCCUUCCUUUCUUCAUAGUUUUGAAGUCUAAGAUUAAGGUGCUACCAGAUUUGCACUCUUUUUCUGGCUAGUGUUCUAAUGAAGAGCACUUUCUAACUGUAUCUCAGCAUGGUGGAAAAUAUUCUGCCUCACAACUUAGUCACCUAUCAUAUGCCUCACCUUCUACUACUAUUACAUUGGAGGUGAGGUUUCAACAUGAUAUUUUUUGGAUGACACACACAUUCAGAUGAUCGCAUGGGUGUAUGAUGUGCAAUCCCCCAUUUCUAUAUUACUUUUGGAUGCACACAUGUUGAAAUAUACUUGAACAUGUCUGUGCAAAAAGAGGGUAGAUGUCUGGGAAAAAAGGAGGCAGAUCAUUUUUCUAUUAGUUUGUAAGUUGCUGCGUUGUGAGAUCAGUGACUAGACCUAAUGGAUAGUUAUGUGUAUUCUAAGUGUUAGGUUCCAACAGUAAUAGGAUCAGGCCAUUGUUUUUCUCCUUGGGGAAGAGAGUGAGUUUAUUUUGUUGGAAGAGUGCACACUAAUAUUUGGUGGCCAUAGAAAAGUCUGCUAUUCUGGGAGUGGUUCUCUCAUAUCUACUUCCCUGUUCUCUUGGGGAGCACGUGGCUGCACAGCUAUGAACUGGUUUUCUUAUCCUUACCAGUAUAGUAAUAUAUAUUUUGGUAUAUGAAUUCAUACAAAUGUAAUGUGAGAAGGAAUGAAGAGCGCCUUUUUACCACUAGACUUCUGACCUUGUUCUUUCUGUCUUGUGCUUUUGUGAAGAGUGAAAUGUCGGUGUGAUGAAGGGACCGCAUCAACCAUGUUGAUAAAGACAAGGGGUAAACUGGCACUAGGGUCCUUCACUGAGAAGUCUGCCUUCUUGACUGUCACCAUGCCAUGGGAGAGGUAGAGGAAGGAUCUGGGCACUGUAGGACCUCUGGCUUCCUCAAAGUCAAGAUGACCAUGAAAGGGAAGCAUUUUGAAUGCUUCAGCUCAGCACAUUGAGGUACCAACAACAGUCAAACUAAAAGCACAGUCAACCCAAAAGACACUCAAGAAAAGAUUUACAGAAUUGUUUCAGAAAGUAGCAAAAACAAUGGGAUAAGGUUGUUCAAAGUUAAGGG